GGGCCAUAUUUAGCUGUACAUCCUCUCAACUGUUAACUGUAUUAUUCUUUUAAGGAAGUCAUUAACUGUUCACUAAACUCUUCCUAUAGUGGUUUUACAAUGCAAGCACGGUGAAAUGUGGUUCUCUGCAGGGUAAAUAGUUCUUCGUAGUGAAAGAGUCAGCGCACACAUAUGUUACUAGAAUAAACGAGGAGAACCUCUAGAAAUGUUUGGCAUGAUCAGCAAAUAAUUUCUGUUCAUCUGCCCUCCAACAGCUGCUAAUGCAAACUUCAUACAUUUAAACGACUUCCUAUUUUUUUACAGCUGAUCCUGUGACUAUCACUCAUCCCUCCCAGAAAUGAUAUUUUCAGUUGCAUUUUCGUUUCAGCUUGAAGGAGAGAGGUGAUUUGCACAUCCUGGCUGGUUCAGCAGUUGCAGCUGAAGAAGUUUUCUUCAUUGCGUCAUCCUGGACCAGUUCCUACGAUUCAUCUCGCACUGCUCUGCUAUACUUUCCCUGUACAAAGUGGAACCAUCGACUUUCAGCCUAGAAGGUCUAUUUUAAGAUUAAGGGGACAUGAAAUGAGGAAGAUCGUAAGUGAAGUCUCUGUGAAGAAGUUCACUGCACUUCCUCUUUAUGAAAACAAACGGCAGGCUGCCUCUGGCAAAUAUGAGGGUUUUUUUAAUGGAAAUGUACAGUGAAGACCUUAAUCCUUGAACCUGUCACAGCCCUGUUCUGUGAAGCCUGUGUGGAGUUUACAUGGGAGCUAUAAAUCAGAAAGAGAUAGCACAGAAAUAAGCAGUCUGUACUUCCCUUGGAUGGCAAUUGCAUUAAACUGCAGGUGUGCACAUCCCCUCCAAGCCCUGAUCCCAGCCAAACCACCGUGACCACCUGCGCCAUCACCAAAUCCUGCCAUGUCAGGGGGAGAAGCAAUGCAUGGAGAGCUCUGUUGGCUCAAGCUUUCCUUCAAGACCUACUCAGUGAAAUUGAAGAUUUGAUCGUGAUGGGUUGUAGCAAGUCUCUCAGGUCAGGAACAGCGCUGGUUGGCUUAAGAAUGAAGAGAAUGGAAACCCUACAUUUAACGAAGCACCGGAGAGGAAAAUGAUCUAGGCAAUUCCCAGACUAUUUCUCUCCCCUCCAUAAAGUCUGGUUCUGGAAGACUCUGUGAUUUAAAAUGCGUUUUGCAGGGAAAGGCAAUCACAAGCAUGGGGGUAACUGGAAAAUGGCUUAAAACGGUAGGAGUAGAGAUUUCUCUUUAAUAAGGAGCUGAUCGUGUGGAUGAUGGAAAUUUUACGGGUCGCAGAUCUCAUCUAUCUGGACUCCAGUGAACCAACUGAUGGGAGAACACGGGGGAAAUUAUUUGUUGAAAGGGGGAAGAGGGGAUCUAAUGACAAAGGCCAAGAAAUAGGUAAAAAGCAUCAAUAGGGAAUUACGAGAUUAGAGGAUAAUUCUGGUAGAAGGGUCAGACUGAGGAGCAAUUUUAUUUAUUUUUUGUAUCUUGAUUAAUGGUGUUAUGCUUUAAAACAGCGUGCCUGUGACACGGACCUCAGAACAUUGUCAGGUUGGACUGGGAUAUUGGAUGGGGAGAACGAGGUGACUUUGAAGGCACAAGUAACUAAUGGGGAUUAUAGAAAUGGAAUGGCAAAUGGGAAUUCAGACACUUAGGGAUCAAAAAUGAUGAUUCCUACAAUAAACCAGGAGUUGAAUUAAGAGCAGAAGGAAAAAUUGCAGGUGCCUCAGUUAUUGGCAGGCCAUAAAUCACCAACACAACGUGACAAGCAAUGAAGUAAGUACUGAAACAUUUCCAGUGGAAAUGGGAAUUGUUGAUCCUAUUUUUCAAGGUACUGGUGAGAUAUAACCUAGAGGUUUGCCUUCGAUUCUGGCUACCAGAAGUUGAAAAAGAUAAACUAAGUCUGGGAAGGGCAGGAGCAGCAGGACACAUCGAGAGUGUCCGAGCCAGGAGGACAUCUGUUCCUGGACCUUGGUGUGUGUACAUGCUCAACCUGGCCCACAUCUCCUCCACCCUGCCAGAGCAAGGUCUGGGCAACCACCACCAGCAAGUCCCUGCUCUCCUCCAGGGGCACCUCCUCUGGGGCAGCUGCCCCAGGACAUUGGGUUCAAAAGGAGCUGAAGAGUCUUGAGCUGGAGCUUGGUCCAUUUAGCAAAGACCUCAGUGAGCUGCUGGACCCCGUCUCAGCCACCCGCAUGCCCCAGGAUCCUUGGAAGCUGUUGGCUCCGUGUUAUCCCAUCGGUACAGACCCAGCUGUGUUCCCAGAGGACCUCUGGCAGCACUGAACAGCCAGUUCCUGGAGUGUUGUGUAGAGCUGUAGAAAUGGUCUACGGUUCUCAGUUAUUCACCUUUUGCAAUGGCAUUUAGUCAACCCUUGCUUGCACCACGGCAGCAAAAGAUUUCUUCUUAUUCCUGAACUUGAGUACUGCCGCCUUCUGUUCUAUUCCUACUGUAUUUUUCUCAACUUCUUUUACAUUGCUGAGGAAGAAGCCAGUGAAUCAAACAGCUUUAAAACAACGUUUUUUCAGCAUGAGAUUUUUCUAAUAUGUCUUGUGGGCAGCAGUUGCUAUUACCAGCCUCUUGUGCCUGUCUCUGUGGGAUUCGUUUUCCCCUCAUGGCAGUAUUAAGUGAAUACAAUCCUGCCAUUACCUACGGUGUUUCCAAGGUGAGUCAAGCAAUUUCAGUGGGUUCUCGGAAGCUGGCAUGCUUGACUGCAGCAAUUUCUGUCACGUUGAAAGUGCCACAUCCCAACUCAUGGGGAGUAAUUAGCUCCACUGUGUGGAGCCAACCCUGGUUACAAGGUAAAGGGAUUGAGAAAAUGUUGAGGAAGUGGGAGAGUUGCGAUUCGAAACGUGGAGAGCCACCCAAGAUCCCAUGCUGUGAAAGUUGUGGGAGAUAUCUGCUAGUGGUACGGUGUGAGUCAAUGCUUCUGUCCCUCUGCAGGAUCCUCCCCCAUGUCCUUCCUCACGCAGCUGUGCCGGUCAGGGAUGAUCCAUAUGGUUCCAGCUACUUGGAUUUUCAGGAUUUCUGCACGAGUUUCAAAGAGCUACUAGAAUGUAAUGGGAAAUGUGAUCACAAGGAGGCUUGUCUUGGUAGAUUUCCUAUUUAGUUAAUAAGUCUGUUUAUUUAGACUUAGCGAUUUCCUGUGGUCUACAGCGUGUUUCCAGAGAGGAAGCUCAAGUGCUGCUGUAUAACUGCUGUCCAUAAGCAACGCCGGAGAAAGAAAAUAUACAAGCCACUUCCAUUAUUUCACGGUUCGGAAGUGAUCGUGCUUCUUGGUAGUCACGCGUCUCUUACUCAGAGCUCUCCAUGUACUUGCCCUUUCACGAGGUCACUUUCUCUUGCUAAAAUUAAUGCUGCCUAGAUACUGAUCUCGUGCCAGAAGAGCUGGUGACACCACUAACUCCACCACACCACACACAUUGCUCUCCCCAGAAAACACCUUACCGAAGGAGCCCAGCCUGCCCCAGCCCCAGCUACAAGCUGGCCCAAAACGGGGUCCAUUCCCCAGCACCCUGCAGCUCCAGAUGACCUGCCCUGGUAGCACUGUGCUCACACUGCCUUAUUCCACAGAGAUACCCAAAAGGACUGGGUCACAGCCUGUUCUGCUGAGCCAGGUGUAGGACUGAUGGCUUCUUGCCUUCCAACCCCCCACACCACGAGUUAAAUUCCCAUCUAGUGCUGCAGUGACAUUUAUUAAAAGCAAUAGCAAAACCACUCUCAGAACUGUGCAGCAUCCUGUUUCUGUCCGAAAACAAUCCACUUACAAGGAGGAGCAUCAUCACUCAACACUACAGGAAUUAAUAGAAAAGGAAAAUGAAGUGGGGCAUGUUAUGACUGGUUGCCAACACCAGGCAGCUCACGUUGUUCCACGGGAGCCUCUCAGAGUUCAUCCCCAUAACACCGAUUAAAUCAGUUGUCAGUAAUCUGGCUAAAGAUGGCCUAUGGGGCUGAGGUCAAACAGAGGAAGGAAAAUCACAGCAAUAAAGGAAAGUGAAUCCAGGAUAACACACGCAAGAGCAAGAAAUAAGAAACCCGUCUCUCCCCAUCCAGCAACAUGAAUGGUUAUUAAAUUUCUAUGAAAUCACUA